rnacentral:rRNA from 1 species
UACAGAGGGGGCAAGCGUUGUUCGGAAUUACUGGGCGUAAAGGGCGCGUAGGCGGCCCUUCUUGUCGCGUGUGAAAGCCCCGGGCUCAACCUGGGAAUGGCGCGCGAGACGGGGGGGCUGGAGUUCGGGAGAGGAGCGUGGAAUUCCCAGUGUAGAGGUGAAAUUCGUAGAUAUUGGGAAGAACACCGGUGGCGAAGGCGGCGCUCUGGACCGAGACUGACGCUGAGGCGCGAAAGCGUGGGGAGCAAAGCAGG